AGCGAACGCUGGCGGCAGGCCUAACACAUGCAAGUCGAACGGAUCCUUCGGGAUUAGUGGCGGACGGGUGAGUAACACGUGGGAACGUGCCCUUUGGUUCGGAACAACUCAGGGAAACUUGAGCUAAUACCGGAUGUGCCCUUCGGGGGAAAGAUUUAUCGCCAUUGGAGCGGCCCGCGUCUGAUUAGCUAAUUGGUGAGGUAAAGGCUCACCAAGGCGACGAUCAGUAGCUGGUCUGAGAGGAUGAUCAGCCACAUUGGGACUGAGACACGGCCCAAACUCCUACGGGAGGCAGCAGUGGGGAAUCUUGCGCAAUGGGCGAAAGCCUGACGCAGCCAUGCCGCGUGAAUGAUGAAGGUCUUAGGAUUGUACAAUUCUUUCACCGGGGACGAUAAUGACGGUACCCGGAGAAGAAGCCCCGGCUAACUUCGUGCCAGCAGCCGCCGUAAAAC
rnacentral:rRNA from 1 species